GAAUUUGAUUAAUCCACUAAAUUUUGUUCAAAUGGAAUUUGACUAGAUCUUACUUAGGAAAACUGACUUCUACUGAGACCAAAUUGCUGCCAAGGGAAUCAUUGUGUGUUCGAAGUAUGAGAAUCUCCCAGGUGGGACUCAGGAUGGCAACACAGGCAUCUAGAAGCAAUUUAAGAGAAAAGCCUCUUUGCAGUCAACAUCCACAGAAAAGAAAUAGAAGCAAUUGAUCUACAAGGACCUGCCUUUGAAACAUUGAUACAUUAAGGAUAUGUUCAUGUGUGGAUGUGAUGGAACUGAGGUCACUAGGUUCAUGCUACCUAGAGCAUGAGGCUGACAAAUAGAGAAGCA